ACGAACGCUGGCGGCGUGCCUAAUACAUGCAAGUAGCACGCUGAAGGAGGAGCUUGCUUCUCUGGAUGAGUUGCGAACGGGUGAGUAACGCGUAGGUAACCUGCCUGGUAGCGGGGGAUAACUAUUGGAAACGAUAGCUAAUACCGCAUAAGAGUAGAUGUUGCAUGACAUUUGCUUAAAAGGUGCAAUUGCAUCACUACCAGAUGGACCUGCGUUGUAUUAGCUAGUUGGUGAGGUAACGGCUCACCAAGGCAACGAUACAUAGCCGACCUGAGAGGGUGAUCGGCCACACUGGGACUGAGACACGGCCCAGACUCCUACGGGAGGCAGCAGUAGGGAAUCUUCGGCAAUGGACGGAAGUCUGACCGAGCAACGCCGCGUGAGUGAAGAAGGUUUUCGGAUCGUAAAGCUCUGUUGUAAGAGAAGAACGAGUGUGAGAGUGGAAAGUUCACACUGUGACGGUAUCUUACCAGAAAGGGACGGCUAACUACGUG
rnacentral:rRNA from 1 species